GAUCUGAUGAGGAAAAAACGAUAAUAGUUUUUAGUUUCGUGCAAGUACUUAGGAUUUCAGUUUGUAUAUUACCCUCACGGAGAAGCAACCAACAAGACAUGCAAGAACACAACAGUAAAAGACAAGGCGCGUGAGCAUUCUGAUCACGCCACGUGUACCAUUGGAUAGAACCCAAAAUCUUGGAACACGUCACAUGGUUUUUGUCCACCUAUAUCCAUUUACACACAUUACUCAGACUCUGACGUGGCAAUCUUCCACAUCCUAAC
rnacentral:lncRNA from 1 species